UAGGCGCCAAUUUCCUUUUCCUCAAUCCUCCUUCACUUUCACGAGCGGCAAUUGCUAUACAGCUUCACAAAACAUAGCUUCUCUCUCCAAUCAAUUCUGUCAAAAUUAUUCAAUACUUUCCUUUCUCAAAUGUAUUUCUAAUAGAAAGACCAUAAAUGUUACGUAUCAUUCAUCUUAUCUCCAAUCUGUCACCAUAUUCGAUUGAACACUGGCAAUCAAAAUCGAUGAAGGAAACGUGGGGUUGUGGUGGUGCAGAUCCGGCUGGAAAAACGUUUUCAGAUCUCAAAAUCAUGGUGUUAGUGGUGGUGACAGGUGUUUUCUUUCGAUCAAUCUGUCUAUGAUUAUUCAAGCCUAAAUCAUGGAAGGGAUUAUUUAACCCCAAAUCAUAACCGGAGGAUCUGGAUUAGUUUGUGUGUACUGAUUACGUUAUUGGUGUUUAGAGGCUUCGAUAAGUGAUGAUCAAGAACCCUAAUUCUCUGCCUGUCUUCUACAACUAAGGAUUUUUUCUCUAUCUUUAAUGUUCAUCUGAAAUCUUAAUUCAUGUUUGAUGUUUUUCUUAUAAGUUCAUCUAUUUAAUGUUUAAAGUAUUGAAUUGUCUCUGAAAUCUCAAAGGGUGUAUUGGUGUUUGAAGUUCUUGAAUCAUGAUUGUCUUUGAAAUCUCAAUUCUGCAAUGAUUUAACACGACCAUUCGAUUUCAGCCUAAUCGGUAUAGUACAGAUAUAGUGUCAUGGAGCAUCAACGUGGAUACUGUUUUGAGUUAGA